rnacentral:rRNA from 1 species
GACGAACGCUGGCGGCGUGCUUAACACAUGCAAGUCGAACGGAAAGGCCCUGCUUUUGUGGGGUGCUCGAGUGGCGAACGGGUGAGUAACACGUGAGUAACCUGCCCUUGACUUUGGGAUAACUUCAGGAAACUGGGGCUAAUACCGGAUAGGAGCUCCUGCUGCAUGGUGGGGGUUGGAAAGUUUCGGCGGUUGGGGAUGGACUCGCGGCUUAUCAGCUUGUUGGUGGGGUAGUGGCUUACCAAGGCUUUGACGGGUAGCCGGCCUGAGAGGGUGACCGGCCACAUGGGGACUGAGAUACGGACCAGACUCCUACGGGAGGCAGCAGUGGGGAAUAUUGCACAAUGGGAGGAAGCCUGAUGCAGCAACGCCGCGUGCGGGAUGACGGCCUUCGGGUUGUAAACCGCUUUCGCCUGUGACGAAGCGUGAGUGACGGUAAUGGGUAAAGAAGCACCGGCUAACUACGUG